UAUCAUAGGUCUUAAAGUGCUUACCAAAGGUAAGAAAAUAAAUACAAAUCCUUCUCAUUCUGCAGUCUACCUGGUUGUGGGCUGAAGAAAGCUGCAUCUGCUCGAGCCUUGGGCUGUGCUCUGAGACUGUGUCCAUGCUCUUCUUGACACAGCGUGUUUAAAGGCAGAAACCUCCACAAGAGCCAUGCUGCAUUGCUCCCUGCUAUCUUCCUCAUGGGCAGCAUCCCCAAAGGACUUCUGCUCCAUCUUCGUGCAAAAGUCCAGGUGGUUCAUCAUUGCACCAAAACCAUGGGCCCCAGUUCUGCUGAAUGAAAACACCUCAUCCUGCUCCUCUCCUGCUUGCUUGUACUUGCUUGUACUUCCUGCAUUCUACUUGUUGCUUGUUUCAGGUGAACGGAAAAGCAGCAUGAUUCAUACAAAAUGAAGUGAGAUUGAAGUUUAUCGCAAGAGAUAAUGUAAGCAAAGCAAACACAGGAGAAAACAAGGUGAGAAUGAAACGAUCGUGACAGUACUGCAAGCAGCAGUACCCACAGCUUGUAAGCUGCCUCACAUUAACUGAGACUUAGCACUGUAGGCUCAGAAAAAAAAUUUAAAAGGAGGGGAAAUGUUUCAGGAGAAGGUAUUUCCCUAAACUCUCUGUUCCCCAUCUCUUUUUUGUGAGCAGCUUCUCAGAGGCCUGGCAGUUCCUCCCAUCUCCCCAUGAAUCAAACCAAUAUGUGCAUACAGUCUGCUAGAGGCAGGAUAGCACAUGGAGCUCAUAAAGUAUCCCAGGGCAGCUCCAAACUUGCCACGUACACACUGGAGGGACAUACUUGACUUCAAAUAAAGUAUUUUCUUGGAAUUAGAUCAGCAGCUGGCACUGCCCAUUGGGGCUCUGGCAGUUCAGAUGUUCUUGCUACUUGGCCACAUGCUGAACUUCUUGCUGCUGUGCAUCACUGAGGUUACAGCCCUUCCUGAAGCCUGUAAUGUCUAACCAUUCAGACUUUCAAGGGGAUAUGCACUAACCCUUAGUUAUGGAGAAUGGAAGGAGACUUGGGCGCACCUUACAGUGUCCUGAUCUGCUGUUUCCCUUGUGCUCACAGAGUUAUGGACUUUAAUAUGUUCUAGUUUGCUGUGAAUUUUGCUUUAAAUUAAAUCUUGAAUUUAAAUUAACCCUACAGUAAGCUUUCAGCUUUGGGGCUCCAGCCAUUUUCUACUUCUCUUUUUCCAUUUUUUUUUUAUCCUCAGAAAUAAGCAAUUGAAUACUGGCCCUAGGUUGGCAUAGGUCCAGAGCAGCUAGAUGGUAAUGAUUACAGAAGAGACAUUAUAGUCAGUUUAGUAAGUGAAGCAGCAUGUAAGUACCACCUACUUGACUGUAGCCUUAUAACCUGAAGAAACACAUGCAGGCACACACAAAUAAUGUGUUUAACAACAGAUGGUAUAAAUCAGUCCACUUAAUUUAAAUACCCGAUUUAUAAGGUGCUGCUUUCUGGGAAGAAGUUAGCACGCUUACCCAGUUUGUCCAUGGGACAGUGGAGACUUACUCUUUUGCUUACAGCCCUCUUGCUGUCCUAGUAGGCCCUGCAUGCUGGCAGCAUCUGAUGACAAGCAGCCAGCAGCUCUGGCGCUGCUGUCCCUCCAGCUUUCACCCAGUGGUUGGCAUGCUGUCCCCAGGCAGUGGCACCAUCACAGCACCAUCCUGGCUGCACCACCAUCCCACUCAUCCCUGGCAGGCUGGUGUGGAAAUGGAUGGCUGUUCCUGUGUCCCCAAAUACCCUCUGGGUAGGUAGGGUGUGCCCAGUUCCUAAUCCUGGUUGCAAGAAGAGGACCAGCAGCACAGCCAGGUUAGCACAGUUAGCACAGUGAGCUAAUGGGUUGAGGUGUUGUGUUAGGUAGUAAAGAAAAGCAGAUGGGUUAGACUGCUCACUGAAAUUCAGCUGAAUUUUAAGUACAUGCAUUUCAGAUUUGAUAGGAUUUAGGUAAGCUAAAUCCUCCCCUACUUACCUGUGGUAAUGGAGCAAAUCUUUGGCAAACUCAACCCUUGGUCCAAAUAAACCAAAGUAAAUCAGGCUAUUGUGUACACUAGAAGGCAAUACAGCCUUUGCUGUAUCUGUAACAGCUUACACUGGUGAAGAGUCUGGGAUGACAGAUUUUUUGUUUAUUUAAGUCAAGCUGAUGCCAUGAAACUCAGAAAAUGUAAGAUGUACAUCAAUAGGUGUUAAUAUGUCACUGACAGACAAAUCCCUGUUUAACCUUUCGCCCACGCAAACUCCCAAGGGAGCUCCACCUUAACCCAUGAUAACAAAAAACACUUGGUGGAGGAAGGAUUUAAGCAUUUAGUUUUGGAUGGUAUCUCUAGUUUGAAGGGAGUGCUGCACAUUCAGACUGCAGAUGCAGCUCCCAGGAGGCUAUGAGCAGUGCAAACAGGGUCUGAUGGCUCAUACAUGCUGAUGAUGACUGCAGAUAAAGAGGUAUUCUUUUUGUUUUGUUUUUCCCUGUUGUGACUGGAUGCCGGGGUGACCAGAGGUACAAUUAGGCGGACAGAUUGGAUGGAUGGAAAUCUUGGUUCUUUAGGGCAAAAAGUGUCAGUUUGGAUGAAGAAUUUUCUGCAUUUCAGCAUGAUGCUUGCACAGCACAUUUACCUACUACAUGACAUAUCAAAAUUUUAUUUUUAAUGAACUGGAGUCGGUCUUAGGAAGAGGAUUGUACUUUGUGUGUUUCAGAACAUUUCCAGAGAUUGACUCAUAAUGUCAGAACCCCAAAAUGUGCUAGGUGAGAGAGAGCUCCUAAUAAGAGCCAUGAAAGAGAAACUCUCUCAG
ensembl:lncRNA